rnacentral:rRNA from 1 species
CGUGAGUGAUGAAGGUUUUCGGAUCGUAAAGCUCUGUUGUUAGGGAAGAACAAGUGCCGUUCGAAUAGGGCGGCACCUUGACGGUACCUAACCAGAAAGCCACGGCUAACUACGUGCCAGCAGCCGCGGUAAUACGUAGGUGGCAAGCGUUGUCCGGAAUUAUUGGGCGUAAAGCGCGCGCAGGCGGUCUCUUAAGUCUGAUGUGAAAGCCCACGGCUCAACCGUGGAGGGUCAUUGGAAACUGGGGGACUUGAGUACAGAAGAGGAAAGUGGAAUUCCACGUGUAGCGGUGAAAUGCGUAGAUAUGUGGAGGAACACCAGUGGCGAAGGCGACUUUCUGGUCUGUAACUGACGCUGAGGCGCGAAAGCGUGGGGAGCAAACAGGAUUAGAUACCCUGGUAGUCCACGCCGUAAACGAUGAGUGCUAAGUGUUAGAGGGUUUCCGCCCUUUAGUGCUGCAGCUAACGC